AUGGACCAGCCGCUCCGUGGGGAGGACUCCGGACCCUCGUGGGGGGAUGGGGGGCCCUGCCGCCCCCGAGGCGGAGGGACCCUAAGAGGGGGGAUUCGGGCCUGCCCUCGGGGUUGGGGAGGGCCGGGAGCUUGGGAAGAGGUCUGAGCUCGUCAGAGGGGACUUCGCAGAACUUGUUUUUUCGGCUCUGAGCCGGACACCGGAAUGAAGUUUGGGGCGGAGAUUGCUCACAGCAGCGGCCUCUUCGCCGAGAAUCACCGCCCGCCAGGCGUCCUGCGGCCACACCCUGGCGGGCCCCGGCUGGCUACGCCCACGCGGCCCCUUCAGUCCCGUCGGCCUGGCCAAUGGAGGAUCUGCAAAUGUCACGACCUGCCCGGGCUUGGCAGUCGCCGGUCGCACCGGGCCUGGACGCCUGGGAAGACUUUGUUGCAAGGGGAGGCGGGGAGAAGGCGCUGCACCCAUGCCAGCCUCUCUUCCUGGAGUCGUCGAACCACAGCGCAGCCAAUUGGCUCAGAGAUGUGGCGGUUUGCCGGUUCCCUAUGGGUCUAUGCGGUACUCUUCUGCCUAGUGACUGACACCUUGGAAAUGAAGCCUAUGACGUCAUCGCUCCAGCGAACCAAUAGGAAACGCUCCCGCGGAGAGGUGUUCCGCCCCUUUCGACUCUGCUUCUUCACGCGCGUGAGCGAGCGUGCGCGCGCGGAGGGGGUGGGGGAAAUCUCGAACACGGUGGCGCGCAUGAGCGGCGAAGCUCCUCCUCCCUGCCUAUAUAUAAAGGGCUGGCGCGGGGCUCGGCGGCGCCAUUUCGCGCUGGAGUGGAGCAUCCUCUAGAACGAGCUGGAGGAUUCUGCCUACUGAUAGCCUUCGAGUCGUCGGGGGCCGCCAUUGCAAUCCACGUCCAUCCGUUUGGAAAUGGCCUUCGUCUCGGCCUAUGACCGGUCCCGGCGGACAGUACAGACCCCAUAGAAGCCCCCGACGCUCCCCUUUUUCGGGCCCCGCCCAAUCCUCGGAGUCUGUCCACCCCCUCUACUCCGCCCUCAAGAGGAUUUCAAAGAUGGAGGCGGCGGCUCCCUAAACCACUUUUCGUGUUCAUCCGCCUCCAUCCGAGAUCGAAACGGGACCUCGUCCGCUGCGGGCAGUCCCAGCAGGAAGAGGGGAUCCUUGCAGAUCAACAGCGGGCAGUAUUGACGACGGUGUCCGGGAUUGGGGGCCGUCCUAGUGUUUGAGGAGUCCGUCCCCCCUUGCCCGCCUCUGCUGAGGCCGCCGCCAUUUUCUCGCUGUCCGCCUCCCGCGGAGCGCGCCAAGCUGCUGGGAGCUCUCCGAGAAGCAGCGGAGAAGACUGCUUUCGUGCCGGCCCGACGGGGGCGGGAGUUGUCGACUGGAGGGCCAAGGGCAGGGGCCCUCCACCCCCCCACUUCCCGGGUUAUGCUGGAGCGGGCGGUAAGGGGAACCGAGGCCACCCGGACUUUCCGCGGCUGAGGGCAGC
rnacentral:lncRNA from 1 species